rnacentral:rRNA from 1 species
UACGUAGGGUGCGAGCGUUAAUCGGAAUUACUGGGCGUAAAGCGUGCGCAGGCUGUUAUGUAAGACAGGUGUGAAAUCCCCGGGCUUAACCUGGGAACUGCAUUUGUGACUGCAUAGCUAGAGUACGGUAGAGGGGGAUGGAAUUCCGCGUGUAGCAGUGAAAUGCGUAGAUAUGCGGAGGAACACCGAUGGCGAAGGCAAUCCCCUGGACCUGUACUGACGCUCAUGCACGAAAGCGUGGGGAGCAAACAGG